ACAAAUCAAAAUAGACCUUAUCGAUCAUCACUAACACACGAGUUGAGGUUUACAACCUAUCGUUUUAACACUAUAUUGUUUAUGUUUCAUUCCAAUUGAGUUAUUUAUGCAUGUGAGCCCUAUGAGUUCUCGUUUGAAUGCAUAAAAGGCAAGGGCCUUGAUCAAUGAAAAGUACAUUGAUAAGAAAAGGUGAGCUGCUUAACUACUUGGAAGACAUGGUGGGCAGCUAUGCUACCAUAAGGCAAGAAGUCAAGAUUAAGAAAGGUCGGUCCAUAUGAGUUUGAAUUUGUCAUAAACUUUGGUUUUGACAAAUUCACAUGCAUAGGAAUACAUACAUCAUUAAAAUCUAAGAUUCAUAAGAUUCCCUCCUUCAUGAAAAUGACUGUGAGGAAAUGCUUUCACUAAGAAAGAUUUUAAAAAGAUAGUGAUUGUGAAAAUUGUAUUCUUGAAUUUGAUUAUGGUUACGGUAUCCCUUUACAUGAUUUGAGUUGUGAGGUUUGGCAAUUAGUCUGAAUUGUUUAGACACACAUAUGAGCUAUCAGAGGCAAAGGUGUAUAAGCUUAGAUAAAAGAUUAUCAAAGCAUUAGAAACAUGGACUUAAGAAAAUUCAAUAAGUAUUGUUUUUCUGAAAGUUAAGCUGUUUCUGAAUACAUGUCAAAGCUAGUGGGAGCAUAAGUGUUAUGCUUAUAAUAAUCAUCUUGAUAGUGGGAGCAUAAAUGUUAUGAUUGUAUGAUUAUUAUGGAAAGUAUUGCAUGUUAGCAAUAUUAAUUAUAGAAAACAAGAGUUAUACUUUGCAAAGUCGCAAGAGUUGAAAAGUUGUUUUGCUACAAUUAAGGGACAUAAUAUUAUGCUUCAUUUCAAAUUUAAAGGUUUAGGUUGUGAAAUGUUAAUAAAUUUAGUCAAGGAAACAUAGUGUGUUCUCAAUUUUCGAUUAUGAUCACGGCAAUCCUCUUUAUAGUUCGAAUUUUGAGAACAUAGCACAUAAAAUAUUAUGGCAGAAGAUUGAUAAAGUAUCGAAUCUUCAUGUAAGACAUUAUGCAUCGUGUCCCAUACGCUUCGGGGAUGGGAUUGAUUGCAAAUGCUAUAAUAUUUGACCAUUCUAAAGUUUUCCAAAUGUCUAGCGCAUUUAGAGGGAAAAAGGACAAGAAUCGGUUUUGACUAAGAUAAUUAAACAACUAUCAAAGGACGAUCCAAAGUUCGCCGAGGAUUGGUCGCUUGUGAGUAGUUGGAAGUAUAGUAUUGGAUGGACCAUAUCGACAUUAUUAUGAAUAGAUAAGAUUCUAUUGAGAUUGAGUUAUCAUUUGGAAAAUAUGGAAACGUGUCCAUAUUGGGAAUUAAAUAUUAAAAAUCUAUGUCUGGAUUAGAAACUUUUAUGCAAAAGGAUGUUCAAAGGAAUGUACUUUGAGUGAGAGACAUCAUAUCUAAGGAAUUUUAUUGUAACAAUCUCCGAUAGAGGACUUUGUAAUAUCAUUGGCAAAAGUCAUUGUGACUUUAGUGCAGCGGCAUUACAAAAGGAUCGUUGCAUAAAAUGUUAGAAUCUAGCAUAAUCCAUAAGUAGCAAGAAUUUGAUAUUCUUUCACUUGUGAAAAGGAUUAGGAGUUGUCAAAUGAGUAUGAUUGGAAAUGUGUUCAUUUGAUCUAUUUCACAAAGUAAGAACCAUAGGUAAACAUUGUGUGCAUGCUAAGAGCAUGGGACAAGUGUUGUAAUAAUUCAAGUAAAAAAUUGAUUACCCGAAACAACAAAUAAUGAGUAAUCGAUAUGGUGAUAAAUAAAAGUUGUUUUAUUUAUUAUCAAAGGUUUGAGGCCAUAUGGGAUUAGUAUUAUUCUAUUGUUUCACUUUACAUGUUUUGACUUCCUACAUAAUUUAAUUGGUUGAGAAUAGUCAAAUUAUUCGAACGGGCCACAGUCGCUCAUAUGUUGGAAGUAGGUAUGAAUGAAGACUGUCAUGAAUUGGUGUGUGGAUUGUAUAAAGAGUAUUAGACAUAAGAAAAUGUUUGCUGCAACGUUCAUGAGUGCUUAUGAAUAUGAUUUGAGCAUUGGAUUAAACCCACACUCACUUGGAUCACUCCAUGUAUUGUAUCACGAGUGAUUGGUGAGACGAUAACAUCUUAUAUUCUUGAAACCGAGAUGUGUGAGUUGUAUCUUGCAAAUCGGUUGCACAUUGAUAAUAUGUAAACGCACCAGUAACUUGGUGUCAUAAAACAUAUUGUUGUGUGUGAUUCGGUGAGUGAGUGCAAGCAAGCAUUGAAUCAAAGUUUAUCCGUUCCUUUUAUCCAAAGUAGGAUAAAAGCGAUAUCUUUGGGCCCCUCGAUGAUUUAGUGAUGACAAACGUAAAUGCUCGGCCGGGCUAGGGCUAAUUUGAUUUGUUCAAUUAGUCAGUCGUCAUAAAUCGGAAGUCGAGAAAUAGUACAGAGAGAAUGAUUAGAAAUCAUGUCUCAUACGAUAUCUAAAAUGGAGGAAUAUAUGAUCCGUUAUCUAAAGGACACGCGUAUCUGAUAGGAUCAGAGUUGACAGCGGCUUUGGAAAGCUACGAUUGCAGAUCAGGAUCUGAAGUCAUACGCAGAAUAGUUAUUAGAUUUAUCCAAGUGGGUGACUGUUGGCUUAGUGUCUUAGUCCAUAACUCUUUGGUAUGUACUUGACCGGAUGGUGGAUGGUCCUUUUGGGUUGCCUUCACCAAAGCAACUUGAUAGGAUGAAUUAUGGAGAGAAAGGAUUAAAUGUGAUUUAUUAAUAUAUUAUGAGAAUAAUAUAUUAAAGGAGAAAUCAUAUUGUUUAAUUAAUAUUAGUCAAGAAUUAAUAAGAAUUAAGUUUGUGACUAAAAGAGAUUAAUUAAACUUAAGGGACUGGAAUUGUAAUUAUAAGAUAAUUGCAAUUUGGGCUAUGGAUUGCCUAUUAGUGAAGGUUCGUUGGGAUACCAACCGAGGACCUGAUUUCACUUAGGAGCGCUAGAACCAAUUGAUUAGGAAGUUUCCUCCUCACGAUUCGAUCAUUCGUACCUACUUCCUUGCCUAAAUUCUAAUUUCGGAACGAAAUUCCCUUUAACAGGGGGAUGGUGUCACAACCUGAAAUUUCCAUUCUGAACAAACCAUAUCAAGCCAAUAGAAGUUAGAACAAUUACAGAGAAAUUCCAGACUUCCGGUAUAAGUUUGACAAUUUUUCUGGAUUUAAACUUAAGGAGAUAUCAGGAGAGUGGAUGCACUAGGGUUUUGUGCAACACUGUUAUUCCAAUAAUCUAGGAUAUUAGAGUUCAUUCCGGGAAUAAAAAUAUUUUCUGCCAAAAAUCCCAGGACUAUAAAUAGAAAUCUGAACCAAAAUAAUUCAUUAGUUACAUGUCAAAUUAGAGAAAAGCCAAAAUUCUCUCUCACGGAUCUUCGGGUUUUUAUCCCAAAUCGUGAGUACUUCUAUCUAGUUGUAUUAUAUAGCUUAGAUUAUGUUUUAUAACAUCAAAAUCGGACCAAAACCCCAAGAUUUGGGAGUUUACCGCCCAAGAACACUUGGGGAUUAAACUCCAUUUUAAGGGCCAAAAGUGUCCCAAUGUCUCUCAAAGCCUCAGAACUCAAACUAGAAGCCUCCAUUACAUGUUUUAGACCACAAAACAAUUAAGAUUCAUGGCUAGAAGUGAGUUCACGGCCAAGGAAGUUCUUGGGCCGUGAACUCCAUGUUUAGGUGCCAAAAUGCCUUAAAAACCUUCCUUAAGCCAAGAGACUAAUUUAGACAUGUACCCUAAAGUGUUUAUAGCCUAGAAAACAUAAGGAAUCACAAGGAUAAAGGAGUUUACGGCCAAGACAAGUUCUUGGGCCAUAAACCCCUUAAAAUGGGACAAAUGGCACCCUAACCCCUUCCUUAUGCCUAGAACCCAAUAUAGAUCAUAUCCUUGAAGUGUUAGGAGCCUCAAAACAUCAAAUGGUACUCCUUACCAUGAAUUUACGACCGUAAACUCAUGGGGGAGUGGUCCCAAGGCCGUGAACUCCUAAAUGGAGUUAAAAAGAGGCCCAAACACUUGUUUAAGCCUAGAAGCACUUCACCACUUGAGUUGUAAUAAUGUUAGGCUUCAUUUAGGAACCUUAUUGAGAGUUUACGGCCAGGAGUUUACUCCCCUGGGCCGUAAACUCCAACAUAUAUGGUCUUGUGACCAUAAAAUCCCAUGAGAGGUCUUGCACUCCUUUGUUGCAACCCAUUAGCCUCCUAGCACUUGACCAAAGUGUUUACCUCGCAUUAGAAUGUUUAUACAUGUUUAAUUAGUGUUUUAAUCACUAAUUGUUUAUAUACAUAUGUCUUCAUAUGUAAUUAGGAUCAUUGUGUGUGUCUAAAGUCUUCACUUGACACCAAGCACUUGUCCGAUCCUUCCUUACGAUACAGUCCAUUCAAUUCCAAUCACUUACCCCUUAAUCAAUGUUUUAACUAUUUUUCAAUGUUUUAUGGGGGGGGGAUACAAGUAGAAUCAUGCUACUUAUUAUAUCAAUCACAUGUGAUUAAUAAGCAGCAUUCAAAUGAUUUACUACUCAUUAGCCGUUUUACCAAACAGUUUCCUUCAAAUGAUUUUCAUAAACACUUUAUAUGUUUAAAACUCCUUAUUACACUGUACAUUUUACUCUGUAUAUUACAUUUCAAACUUAUUUACAAUUGUGUUUCAAACAAAUGUUUCUUUAUACUAAACUGUUUUAUCAAACCCAUGCCUUCAAACCGUUUUAUAGAUUGACAUCAAGUCGAUCUUUUCUUAGAUAAUAAUUAUGUUCAAAGGUUUUACAAAACUUAUUUUAUGCUUUUAUAUUAUAAAUUGCAUGCCUCUAUAUGUAUAGUUAUAUAAGAAAUGUUUAAAAGACUUAGGAAGGCUAUCCACCCUAUUUCCUUUUCGCGCUUGAGAUGUGGUCUGGUGGGACAUCGGGUAUCCGUCCGAAGGUUGUUUAAAUAUUAGUUAUAUAUCAUAUGUACAUAUAUAGUCAUAAAGGUCCUUCCAGUUCAUCCAAUGCCCUUGGGUAGCAAGGGUAUACAUCCAUGUUCAUACGUCCCAGUUAGAUUACUAGUAAACUACCAUAUGGGUAGUUUAGGAAGAUACUAGAACUAUUACUAGAACGCGAUAUCAUACAAUGAGUCAGUUCAUUCAUGAGUCAAUACUUGCUAGAUAGAGAGAACAUACAUUACAGCUAGAACAUUACAGUACAUUACUAUUCUUGCUAGAUAGAGAGAACAUACAUUACAGCUAGAACAUUACAGUACAUUACUAUACUUGCUAGAUAGAGAGAGAACACACAUUACAGCUAGCACACGUAGAACAUUUCAGUACAUUACAUAUACAUGAAUACAUUUAAAUAAUUGUGAUCCACUGUAUCGGAGCAUGCCUUAAAUGUCAUGGCCCGACUUGUAGCCAGAGUCUCUUGGAGGGAGAGCGUAAGUUUGCGUAUAGAUCUAUACUGGAUUGACUAUCCUACACCUUGCUGCUAGCUACAGCCGGACCUGCAGGUCUGCGGGUGCCAAACGUCAUUUCUUUUUACGACCAUACGUAUGUCGUUGUUACCAGUCAAUAGUAUGGUGCAAUUAAUCACAUGAUAUCAUAAUAUAAAUCCGGUUUAAGGUAGUUAGUACAGCAGUAGUUCCUAUAAUACAACACUAAAGUACUACAUUAAUUUCCCUUUUCAUAUAUUUAGUGAUCAUUUCACUUAAACAUUAAAUGUAAAAACUAUAUUUUGUUAAUGAUAGUUACACUUGGGAAAAUUACACACUUUUACAAUAAACGAACAUUUAGAACAGUUGAGUCUUGGUAGAAGACUACAUUGAGAACAGUUAUGUCUUGGUAGAAGACACCCUUUAUAUAAUAGGAGAAAUUAUAGGGAUUUCUAGGGUUUUUCAAACAUUUACAGUUGUUUUACAAACAUUUUUACACUUACAGUUCAUAUACAUUUUCAAUACUUACAGUUCAUAUACAAACAAUUUCUUACAUACAAAUUAAGACACUAAAAUACUUAUGAUCUCACCAGCUUCAAAGCUGAUACUCGCUUUCAAAAUUACUUGUAUCCUCAGGUCAUCGAUAGACAGGUACAGAUGCAAGGUUUAGAGAAGAUGGAGCUCGUUCAAGACUCAUUUUUCAUUUUGAUUUAUGCUUUAUUGUCUUUUAUAAUUUGACAGAACACUUGUAUAAUAAUGAUAUUAUUAAUGCAAUGGAUGAUGUUGUUUCUUGUUUACUACUUUACAUUGUUGUGAUACUGUACAUGACGUCUUCCGCCCCAGAACGUUUCCGCCGUUCUUGGUUUUGGGGUGUGACAGAUAUCUAGGAACCAAACCGGAUGUGAGUACUGCAUAUGAUCCUCAAAUAGGUGGACAUAGUGAAAAGACGACACAAACUCUGGAAUUCAUGCUCCAUGCUUGUAUAAUAGAUGUUGGUACGGCAUAGGAUAUUCAUUUACCACUAGUCGAGUUUUCAUACCACAAUAGUUAUCACACCAGCAUACAAGCACCCCUAUUCAAGGUCUUGUAUGGAUGCAAAUGUCAUUUUCCGCCAUGCUAGACGAAAGUUGGAGAUAUCCAUUUAGCUAGAAUGCAUGUUGGAGAUACUUUAUGUAUUGGCCUCGAGGUCACUAAGGAAAUCACAUAAAAGAUCGUGCAGAUCAAGGAAAGGUUAAAAGCCGCACACCAACAACAAAAUUCCGAUGGAACUCUCGUAGAGGGCCAGAGUUUACUUGGGAACAUGAAGACUACAUGAAACACAAGUACAUGCAACAGCUAGUGAUGCUCUCUCUAGUAAUAUCACAAAAUAAUAGUAGGAACGAAAUAAUUUCGGGAUGAAAUUCCUUUAACGGGGAGGUAAUGUGACAUCCCAGAAUUUAGGCCAAAAUUUUUGAACAGUCAGUUCUCCGCGAACCACCUUGUAGUGAAUCUAAGACAUAAUACCUCGAUGAUUUUAAGUAUAAAUGAGGUCAUAUUACUCAUGAGUGCCUUCAGGAUACCUUAAAACGCUCGAAACGUUGACCAUCAUCAUCAAACAGAAAACCAUUCAGAAACCGACGAGCUGAUGCCUUAAAAAUCAAAUUUUUGCAUUUGACCUACACAAGGACUAUAGAUGAUAAAGCUAGAUAGAACAUGUUCUUAGGAUUCCGUGUAAAGAACGUGUAAAACGGAGAGUGUAUGAGAAAGUUAUGCACGUUUUAAGUUUUUAAACAAAUAAAUACCUGAUUUUACCCAGUACCGGACACUACACAACUAAACUUAAGGUAACUACACACCUCGCGAAUUAAAUUUGAACACGUUUCUGAGAUCAAGUUGUCGUCUAGUAUUGAAUUUUACUAUUCCAUUAUUUUAUCCCGAACCAAAAUUAGAUUCGCGAAAACUGAUGAAUCGGAACCCGGUUAACGUGAAACUACGUACAUCAUUUCAUGGGGAUCUAUACAUCGGAUUUGAAAUCCGUUUGUGUUUUCGGAAACGUUGAACUUAAAAUUAUUAUUCGUCAAUUACUCUUUUACUGACUUCGUAGAAGAAUAAUACAAAAUAAUAAUUAACUAAUCAUAACAAAAGUAAAUGAAAAUAAAAUAAAAGUAAUAUUGAAGAUUUUAUUAAAUAAAACUAUAUAUGUUGAAUGAAUAUAAUCCUAGGGGCAUAAUUUCUAUUUCCUGAAAUUACUUUAGUAAAGAUAUAUGAGAUUGGGGUAGUUUUCGUUAGAAUGCCAAAUAACAGGGACCAGUUGUGCCAAACUUGAAAUGUUUUGCCCUGUUCCUCAUUCAUCAGACACAGAUCGCAUCUGAUAUCCUUUCUCACUUUGGUAACUGGAAUCAACACGAAUCAUGGAAGGCUGAUGGUCUAAAGCCUUAAAGUGUUUCUAUUGGACUAUCUGAUCAGUCCUUCCUAUUCUCGCGUCUAAAAAUCUCGAAGUCCCUCUCUCUCGUUCCACCCUGUCCACCGGAAAAGUCACAAUAACAACCGGAGUUGCUGCCUCUCUUGACUCCACCUCCUUAUCCUUUUCUGUUCCGAUGACAAAACAACCCAACCAACCUCUGAUCUCCAUUGCUCCAGUUUUGGAAACCCACAAACCUCCCUACGUCUACUAAUGCUGCUAGUUGCUUCCAGUGUGACUGUGUAACCACCGGGAACAAUAGUGGUUCUCCCUAUCUUGCCACUGAUCGGAGUAAGCUAUCAGACACAACCCAACACCACCUUCCUUUGUCACUUUCUCACUUAUCCGACGAAGAGGACCACCACAGUCAACGGAUGCAGCCCCUUCGCCACCUCUUGUUGUAACCCACCUCCAUUACGACAUCAUUGAUGCUUCCCCUUCUGUUUUUUCCUUCCACCGUGUGCUGCCGAAUUGAAGAGAGACGAGGCAGCUGGAGCCGAUGAAGCAACCACCGCCACCUCCUUGCCAUCGCCAACCCACUCCAUUGCCGCCGACACUGUUGAAAAUCUGACACUACCGCUGCCGCCUACAGUUGUUGUGAAUUCAGAAACCCACAAUCACCACACUUGUCGUUACUCUGCGUCUGUUGCUUUCCUUCGUUGGUUGCUGCCAAGAACCACCACCACCGUGGGUGGUGUUGCUAUCAUGACCACUGAGAAACCCACCACCACCACCAUUGUUGUUAAGAAGAGCUUGACCAUACACCUUCACCUUAUGCUGCCACUGUAGGUUCGAUUCUCUACCAUCAUCACCUUCGGUUAUGCAUUCGUAUCAAUCGAUAAGCAGACCUUGAAGUGGGUCUUGUUUCUCAAAUUGGCACCCUGUAAACGAGUUCAUACGGACAAGAUGACCAGUUCAAACUAUAUUUAAUUCUAUUAAAAAAUAAAUCCUCAACUCUCAGACUUGUACAUAUUGGCCCCUCCCGUAGAAAUAAUCCAUCACUUAAGUCAAACUGCCAUUAAAAUGACCAAGAAUAGUCCUUCCCCCCGAACACCUUAACAGUUUUCGUCCUGAAACUCAAAAUAUUCCAAAAUAUGCACAUUCAACCCUUGGUUUUGAGAAUAAGUAGCAAAAUUAGUCCCUGGAGUAUGAUUUUGGCAAAAUCAACCCCUAAACUUUAUUUAUUUUAGUAAAUACCACCCUAUACCUAAUAAUUAAUACCAAAACUACCUCUUUGGUUUGUUAGGUAAUUUAAGUAGAACCGGUGAUUCGUUUUAAGAGCACGGAACGUCACAAAACGAAUUUCACGACGAGUUUCAUCCUCAAGACUCAUUCACGCUUCAAGGGUGAGUGUUACAGCCCCUUUUUAUGUUUUUUUUUUUUUUUGGGGGGGGGGGGGGGGGNAUACAUGUGAAAUAUAUAUAAAUAUAUUUUCCGGUUAUGAAAUGUGUUUAUAAACAUGCUAAAUAUAUAUAUGUAUCGGUUAUGGAAUACGCAUAUAAAAAAAUAUCUAGUUUUAAUACUUAUUAUUGUCUAUAUAAUGUAUUAUAAACCGAUUUCUUUACAAUAUACAUGCGUUUAAAUAUAUUUAGUCAUGUGCAUAAUUUAUUUUACUUACAUCAAGCAUGUACAAACAUAUUUAUUAGUUAUAUAUGUACAAAUUAUAACAAUUACAUCUUGGAAAUCUUUCAUCCAUGUGGAGAAACAUUUUAUCUAUUUAAGCGAGUGACAUACAUUUUUACGGAUUUAUUGAACUUGUUCGGCUUUUAUAGUGAAACUUUACCGUAUAACCUAGUUAAUGGCUUCUAUAGUGAGACAGUAUUCAUUAACUAAGUUUAAACACUUAGUAUUCCCAUUUAACUAUAACCGUUAAUCCUCGGAGCGAGAUACAUAUGUACAGAUCUAUACGGGUUGACACCCCCACCUGCGGUUGCUAGCUACAACCUCGACUGAUCAAUCGAAGCGGGUGCAUAUUUAUCUUUAGUAUAACUACGAGGUCUAAUGAAGCGUCGUGCAGGGAUUAUAACUGGUCACAUAGCUCGGUUAUAUGACUCACUAUAGACAUUAACUAGACUCUUUAACUAGAAACCACGAAUUCGGUUUCUCUGUUUAUCAAGCAUUUUAAGUAUGGAAUUACUUAUGGUUUAACUCUUUAUCAAGCGUUUUAAGUAUGGAUUUACUUAUGGUUUAACUGUUCAUCAAGCAUGUUAAGUAUGAAUUUACUUAUGGUUUAACUCUUUAUCAAGCAUUUUAAGUAUGAAUUUACUUAUGGUUUAACUCUUUAUCAAGCAUUUUAACUAUGUAUUUACUUAUGGUUUAACUCUUUACCAAGCAUUUUAAGUAUGGAUUUACCUAUGGUUUAUCUAUUUAUCAAGCAUUUAAAGUAUGGGUUUACUUAUGGUUUAUCACUUUAUCAAACAUUUGAAGUAUGGAUUUACUUAUGAUUUAUCUCUUUAACAAAUAUAUCAAGUAUAGAUAUACUUGUUAUUUAACUCUUUAUCAAACAUGGUUUUAACCACAAAAGAAAUACUUUCUAGACUUAUAAAGUAUCAUUACUGCGGUUAGCAGAAAACCUGUAACUCUCACCAACCUUGUGUUGACCCUCAAAAUUUCAUGUAUUCUUAGGGUAUCACCAAACGAGCAUUCAGUCAGAAGAUUAGUCAUGGAUUUGAAGCGACCUAGUUUUAUCUAGCUGUUGUUAUAUCCACCUAUCUGUUAAGGCAAAUUUAUGAAUUUAUUAUUAUGAACUUUGUAUUCAAACCUUAAAGUGUAAUGUAACUACUAUGUUGUUAUUGUUGUAACUUGUGAUGUAUAUUCAAUUUGCUUGGGAUCCAUGAACUAAGUCGCACAGCCCGACGUAUUCCGCCGCCUCCGCCGGGGGUGUGACACCGACAUUGUGGCCGUAGACCCAUUCACACAAAGGGAAACUCACCUGCACUGCUGAACUUUGUUGAUAACCCUUUGGCUACUGACCGACAACUCUCCGAACCACUGCUCCACUAGCUCCCCAAGCUACAAAUAUCAAUAUAACACUUAGUUUGAAACAUCCCAAAAUUCAAGCCCAAAAAUAUCAUUUUUGAUUAAUUAAUUCAUAAAACAUUCAUUAGGAAAUAUUGUAUAAACACGUCAUCUCAAAACCAAGUAUUAUGUUUGAAACCCACAACCAUGAACAAGUGUCAUAUCAGAGUACAAUCCCAUAAAAACACCGUGCAGAAAUCAUAUGUGAGUGUGUGUGAUGCCAUGCUACGCCGCCGGCUCCUUAUUCUUGGAUGAAGAGGUACCUAAAACCAAAAAUUGAAACUGUAAGCACAAAGCUUAGUGAGUUCCCCCAUCAUACCACAUACCAUACAAUACCAUCGGUAUCUUUCAACUGGUAAUCAUCAUCGGUAUCUUUCAACCGGUAAACAUCAUCGAUAUCUUUCAGCCGGUAAUCAUCAUCGGUAUCGUUCAACCGGUAAUCGUCAUCAGUAUCUUUCAACCGGUAACUGGGGACUAUUCCACCCUACUACUAGCAAGAUAUAAGCACACAUUCAGACAUAUCCGGGUACUGACCUACCCCUUGGUCCUAAGGACCACUAUCAGGGAAACUAUCCCUAUCAUGUAACAUAUCAUACAGAUAUAACUCAUAACCAAACGCAAACCAGACCAAGAUAAAUUAUCACAAAGACAAUUAUCUUCUAAGUACUCCUCAAUGGUGGGCCGGCAUUGUGGCCUUAGACCCAUCCCUACUAGAAGGUAACUCACCUCGUAUCUGCUGAACUGUGCGGGAAUCCUCUGACUGCUGCCACUGCUGCUCUGGAAAUCCACCGGCUAAAAUUCCCACAAAAUACUUAGUCAGAAACUGACAACUACCCUUAGGGUAAAAUCUCCAUUUUACGCCUUGACCAAAUCAAAGUCAAAGUCAAAGUCAACUUCUAGUUGACCUGACUCGCCGAGUUGACUUGUAAACUCGCUGAGUCCCUAUCCUUCCAGCAGACCUCAUACCCGUCUCUACUCUUCAAGUUAGUUGAUGACUCGAAAAGUUUUCCUUCUAAAUGAACACCGACUGAAUCCACAUCCGACCCGCCGAGUUGUAUGAACAACUCGUCGAGUUCAUCAUCAACUGAUAAUCAUGUCCUAGCUUGGCUCGCCGAGUUGUAUGAACAACUCGUCGAGUUACUCUUCAUCCUAUGAACACGUUCUCUCCUCGACUCGCCGAGUUGAUGAACAACUCGCCGAGUACCAUGAAGGUUGUCUUGGACUCGCUGAGACCGUUCAUGCACUCGCCGAGUACCAUGAAUUCCCAUAACACUUUGCUUAGUCCAGAACGUUGGGUCACUCCCCAGGACUCCUAAAACCCUUCCACACUCAACUGCUCCUUAUGACCCUCACUGAUAUGGGACCAAAACCCUUGGACUCGCCGAGUCCCGGAAUGGACUCGUCGAGUCUAUCACAUUCCUUACUAAGAACUUCGAUUUCUGAUGUACAACACUUAACCAAAUGAUAGAUCCAGGCCCCCAAACUCGAUCUAGCGUGUAAAGUUACCAACUUUACAUGCAUGCAUGGGACAUUAGAGCUUAAAAGGCUCUAAAAUGGUUCUUUUGUUGCAUGGGGCCUUCCUUGGUGCAAAANAAGGACAUGAUACAGAAGCCAAACCCCCCAACCAUGUUUGCAAACAUGGUGGGCCACCAAAAAUGGCUUAUAAAAGCCCUAAAUCACCACAAAGAUGGAUCUAACAAAAGAAUGAGCAAGGUUCAGACUUUAUACCUUCCAAAGACUUCAAAUGAUGAACCAAACUCGAAUCCUUUAGUCCCCUCUUGAUCCUUCUAUGCUCUUCCUUCUUCCUUGAGAUCAAAAAGCCUUAGAUCUUCACAAAAACUUCUAGGGUUUGCUAUGAGGAGUGUUUGGGGAGCAUAAAGGGGGAAAGGAGGCUACAUAAGGUCGUUUAAAUAAGGUGCAAACCCCUGGAUUAGGGUUUUUGUCCAAACAGAGGCUACUCGCUGAGUCCGGGACUCGACUCGCCGAGUUCGCAACUUAAUCCCCGCGCCUCAUCCCGCUUCUACUCGGCGAGUCAGUCCUUCGACUCGCCGAGUCCAAGGCCAAAAAUGCAAAAAUAAAUUAGGAUUUAAUAACAGAAUACAUACCAACAACCAGCUGCUACAAAUCUCCCCCACUUAUUUUAGGCUUUGUCCUCGAAGUCUGCCGCUCGAUCCUGAAACAGCUCGGGGUAGUGCUCCAUCAUUUCACUCACCGGCUCCCAAGUCCAUUCCGACCCCUUCCGGUGCUGCCACUACACCUUCACGAGUUCUACUCUUUUGUUCCUCAGAUCCUUCGACUUCCGGUCAAGGAUCGCCACAGGCCGCUCAAUGUAAUUCAGGCUGCCAUCAACCUGAAUAUCCUCCAAGUGUACCACCGCCGUAUUGUCCACUAGGCACUUCCGUAUCUGAGAUACGCGGAAGGUGCUGUGGAUUUGACUGAGUUCGGCUGGCAGAUCCAGCUGGUACGCCACCUUGCCCACCCGGGCUACAACCCUGAACGGUCUGAUAUACCUUGGGCCCAACUUGCCCCGCUUCCUGAAUCGGAUGACGCCCUUCCAUGGCGACACUUUUUGGAGAACCAUAUCCUCGACCUGGAAUUCGAGGUCUGAUCGACGCUUAUCGGGGUAACUUUUCUGCAGACUCUGAGCAGUUUGAAGCCUGCUCUGGACCUGCCGAAUCUUCUCUGUCGUCUUGAGCACUACUUCGGUGCUCCCCAUGACUCUCUGGCCAACCUCACCCCAACAUAUCAGGGUCCUGCACCUCCUCCCAUAUAACAUCUCGAAGGGAGGACGGUCGAUACUCGCAUUAUAAUUGUUAUUAUACGAGAACUCCGCCAAUGGGAGAUAGGUAUCCCAACUACCUUCGAAAUCUAAAACGCAUGCCCACAGCAUAUCCUCCAGAGUCUGGAUGGUCCGCUCGCUCUGGCCAUCCGUCUGUGGGUGAAAAGCGGUGCUAAAAUGCAGACGAGUACCUAGCUCAUCAUGAAACCUCUUCCAAAACCUGGAAGUAAACCGCACGUCUCUGUCCGAAAUCACCAAAACUGGCACUGCGUGUCGCGCCACCACCUGACUGAUAUAGAUAUCGGCCAAUAUCUCGGCCGAGAUGCUCUCCUGAAUCGGAAUAAAGUGGGCACUCUUGGUCAAUCGAUCCACGAUGACCCAUAUCGAAUCUAUCCCCCGCGCGGUCCUGGGAAGUUUCGUGAUAAAAUCCAUUGUAAUAUAUUCCCCAUUUCCACAGCGGGAUAGCCAAUAGCUGCAUCUUCCCGUGUGGUCUCUGAUGCUCUGCCUUGACCUUCCUGCAGGUCAAGCACUUCUCCACAUACCAUGCCACCGUUGGAUUAGUGUCUAAGUCCAUAACUAUUUUGGUAUGUACUUGACCCGAUGGUGCAUGGUCCUUUUGGAUUGCCUUCACCAAAGCAACUUGAUAGGAUGAAUUAUGGAGAGAAAGGACUAAUUAUGAUUUAUUAAUAUAUUAUGAGAAUAAUAUAUUAAAGGAGAAAUCAUAUUGUUUAAUUAAUAUUAGUCAAUAAUUAAUUAGGAAUUAAUUUUGUGGCUAAAAGACAUUAAUUAAACUUAAGGGACUAGAACUGUCAAUUGUAUGAUAGUUGAAUAUUGAGCUAAUGGACUCCAUGUUAAAGGGGUGGACGAAUUCUAUGGGGAAACCCAUUAGAAAUCCUCCUAGGCCUUUAAGGAAGGAGUCCAUGGGUUGCUUAGGGCCUAAGCAGUCAAAUUAGGGUUUCCUUGUUUGAUAACCCUAAUAGCCUCACUAUUUAAAGGAACCUUGAGACUCAAAAACGUGGUGAACUAAUUGAUUAGGGUUUCCAGCCGUUUUUGGGUGUCUCCUCUUUCCUUAUUCUUCAUCCUGUUUCUCUUGGUGUUUGUGAACCAUUAGAGGAGUGACACUUGUGACUCUAAGCUUUCUAAAGUCAUUACAAGGAGGAUUUAAGACUGUUAUUGCUACAUAACAAUCAAGGUAAGAUCUAAAAAACCCUUUCACAUGUUAAUAUGAUUAAUUGUAUGCUAGAACUAGGGUUUAAAGUCUUGGAUGAAUUGCAUGUACAAUAGAGAAACCUAGAUCCAAGCAUUAGGGUUAGCAUGAGCAUAUAGGAUGUUCUUUUGGCUAAAACCCAUCAGUGGUAUCAGAGCCUAGAUUAGUUUCUAUUGUAUUAAUGCCUUGGUUAUUUGUUCAACCUUCAAAAAUCAAAAUUUUGGUCCCCUUUCUGAUGAACUCGGCGAGUUCCAAUGUGGACUCGGCAAGUAGCUCCAACUCGGCGAGUCCAUAGAGGAACUCGGCGAGUUCGAGCGUCAGAAGGAGGUAGUUUCGGGAUUUCUUGCUAUUUUACUUGAGGAUACUUGCCUUAACUGUUUUGGGUCAUUAAAAUCUGAUUUUAAACAUAUAUUUGAGUAUAUCCUUGACCAGACAAAAGAUAAUUACCAAUUUAUUAGAUAAUAACUUCCUUAUAUGAUUAAAGAUUGAUUAUUGGUAUUAAUUGGGUAACUUAUCUUGCAAGAAACUGAAAUUAGGUCAAAUAUAGAUAAUGACCAAAUUAAUUGUUUAAUUUCUAUUAUUUGUUAUUUGAUCUUUAUGUUGUGAAAAAGUUUCAAUUAUCUACCUUUUAGGUUUUAUAGUUUAAAUUUGAACUUAAAGGUUUCGUUUUGAAAUUUAAAUAGUUAAAACCCUAAUGUUUUGAAAUGUUUCAAAACUUGCCCUCAAGUUUUGGAAUUUAAAAGUUGAUUAAAAGUUUAAUUUAGAAAUGUUAAAUUCUAAAACCCUAGUAUUGUUUUGAAAAGUUCAUAUCACACCCUUAUGGUUUUGUUAAUUAAUUAAAGUGUAUAAUUAUUAAAUUAGACCACCUANGUCUAACAUUAUAUAUAUGUAUGAGUAAAAGUCAGUCUUACCGUUAGUAGGCCUCAUUCACGAAGCUGGUCUAUAAGGGGUGUUUAAGGAAAUUGCCUAUAAAAUGGCGAUUGAAUGGGUAUCCACUCUUACCCACCGCACUCUUGACUAGUGGAGGGUCGUUAGCCGAAUGGGUAGGAUAGGACAGAAACCUUCCAUUAUAAGUAUAAUGAAAAACAAAAGUAACUAAAUGCUUUCAUAAAAUUCCCAAUCUUAGUUACUUUAGGCAAAAGUGAAUUGAUGCAAUUCCAUGAAAUUACACUUUGUGCCCUUGCGAAGACGUUAGUGGAACUUGUGUGGUUAACCGGCACACUAAAUGGAUCUAAGAAAAUGUAGCAAAAGGUGACUCAAUGUUUGUCAUAGUUCGGUGGAGCGUGUGUGGUUAACCGGGAUAUCGAAUAGGUAACUGUAACAUGUGGGGGCACCAUGUAAGUCUGCAUGGUUAUUCACACCCACUUUGUGAUCCUCGGUAUCCCAGUCACAAACUAGAGGGGCAUAUCGAGAUUUUAACAUGCCAUUGAAAGGUUCAAUGAAUCUCAAAAGAUCUAGGAAUUUUCAAUAGAUUUAAAACGUAAAUUUCUUUUUUGUUUUUCAUGGUGGAAAUUAGUGAAUCGUCAUUCACUUACCUUUUAAUAUUCUGCAACUAGGUUACGACAUCCGUUUUCUAGGUUGUAGAGUAUUGUGUUGGGUCCUAGCCUUAAUAUCUCAUUUGGGUGAUUUAUUAAGGACUCAAUCAAUCAACUAACUUGAACUUAAUUCUUCUCCCGUUUUGUAGAUGUCAAAGUAUGACAACUAUGGUCUUCCCAAAUCCCGUGGAACAAGUUUUUCACAUGAAGAUGAUAUUCCACGAUUCGAUCGAGGAACACGAGAUCAUGCUUCACUUCCUCCACCUCCUCCUAUUAUUCUCCCUAACCCACAAGUUCAAAAGAUUGAAAAGUUCAAACUCACUCAAGCCCUUUUGGCAAGUAAACAUGAAGAAGGAAAGUCAGUGUGUGCACACAUCCUAGAGAUGAAGUCACACAUUGAUAGAUUAAGAAUGUUGGGAUCUGUUGUCUGUGAGGAGCUGGCUGUUGACUGGGUUCUUUAGUCACUUCCUGACUCAUAUAGUGAGUUCGUAAGAGAGUACUAUAUGAUGAACCACGACGUAACCCUCAUUGAUCUCACCUAUAUGCUUAUUGCUGCUGAAUCAGCAAUGAUUUGGCGCACUGGAAAAGCAAAGUUGAUUGGUGGAUCUGCCUUCCAGACCUCUAUGGAUAUAGGCAAUGGCAACUAAAGGCAUGCCAUGAUCGAAAAGUUUGAUCAUAAGAUAAAGGCAAAGUCAUAAGUAGUUCCACGUGCUGUUCCAAAAGAGUCAAUUUGCUUUUAUUGCCAAGAGAAGGGGCAUUGGAGACGAAGCUGCCCUAUUUACCUAAGAGAUCUAAGAGAUGGGAGAGUCAAAACGUAUGGCUCUGCUUCAGGUAAAAUCCAUUAACUAACUCUUUUAAGUUCCUAUUCUAGAUUCUUAAUACAUGAUGUGAUAAUAUGACAUUUUGAUGUCUUGUAUGAUCGAAGAAAAGAGAGGAAGCUUAAGGGAAGAAGUGAGCGGAAUCUAAUCGUGAAGAAAUGGAUUACGAUCGCAUUACUUUAAGAUUAGAAUCUUGAGCUACUACUUGGAGUUAGAAUAAGAUUGCUAAGAAAUAUGUAUUAACAUAGUUUUUCAAUUAAAUUGCAUUGUAAGGACAAAUUUUUUCCGCAAUAAAAUAAAUUUUGAUUUUAUAUUAUUUAUUUAUCCUUGCAAUGGCGUGUAUGAAAAAUUGAUGUUUGUAAGUUUCUAUUAUUAGCAAUAAUGGAUUUGAUUCUUAAUUAUGUUAUUUGUGGAAAGGUCAAGAAUUUACCAAAUAGGGAAAGUUUCUCAUCGCCCAAGUUUCAAUUGGACAGAAACUUGGAAUCAUACAACUUGGUUGCAUGAUGAAUGAGAAAUUUCAUAUUUGGAAAUUAGACUAAUUCGUUGACAAAGUGUCAAGUGAAGGACUAGGAGAUCAAGUACACAAGGUUGUGUGUUGAUCAAGUCCACCACAAGAGUGACAAAGAUAUUCGUCAUGAUUUACUAAAGGUUUAGUAGAUAUGAUUAUACUUAUAAGAUUAAGUGUAAUUCCGAGUUGAUUGAAAGAGUUUAAAUCAAUAGCAGAACGAAUAAGAAGAAUCAAGUAGGCAGAAAGAUAAAAGUUUCUCUAUUCUAAGAAGAAGGGAGAGUACCUUUUAUUAUGUUUUAUGAUAGGUCUUAAUGAUUAAGAACCAUAUCUCAAUUGAUCCUCUAAGUGAGUCUUAGGGCAAUUGUAUGUCUAAGAAGAGAAAUCGAGAUUUGAAGAAAUGGUUAAAACAAGAAGCCAAUUAUACUUCGUUCCAAAACAAGUCUUAGAGUUAAGAUUGUGACAUUAAGUGACAAGUCUUAAGAAGGUUUAUAAGAUUCAUCAAAUGUGGAAUUUGAAAAAGGUUUUCUUAUUACUGCACAUUUGAAAUUGGAAAGUUGUGAUGUCUUGGGUAAGACAAAGACCAACUAGGACCAAUUUUGUGAAAUGUUUAGUCUUGAUAAAAGCUACACUAACUCUUGAAUAUUUGUUUGUCAAGAAAUGUUUAUUGACAAGAGAAUCUUAUAUGUCAAGGAGUCAGUGGGAGUCUUAAUGGUCUUGAAAGGUUUCAAGAACUAAUCAAGAAUAAACCUUAUCGAUCAUCACUAGCACACGACUUGAGGUUUACAACCUAUCGUGUUGACACUAUCUUGUUUCUGUGCCGUUCCAAUUGAGUUAAUUAUGCAUGUAAGUUCUAUGAGUUCUCAUUUGAACGCAUAAAAGGCAAGCACCUUGAUCAAUGAAAAGUACAUUGAUAGGAAAGGGUGAGCUGCUUAACUACUUGGAAGACAUGGUGGGCAGCCGUGUUACCAUAAGGCAAGAGAUCAAGAUUGAGAAGGUUCGGUCCAUAUGAAUUUGGAUUUGUUGCAAACUUUGGUUUUGACGAAUUCGCAUAGAUAGGAACACAUACACCAUUAAAAUAUAAGUGUCAUAAGAUUUCCUUCUACAUGAAGAUGACUGUGAGGAAAUGCUUUCACUAAGAUAGAUUUUAAGAAGAUAGUGAUUGUGAAAUUGUAUUCUCGAAUUUGAUUAUGGUUACGGUAUCCCUUUCC
rnacentral:lncRNA from 1 species